CCCGAGCAUCCAUUCCUGAUUAAUUCCUCCCUAAUAUUCCUGACGAUGGUGCUCAGCUAGCUUCCUCUGGCGGGGGCUCCCAAGUCCCAACGACCAUCCAGCCGGCGACCUCGACACGGCGAGGUCGGCCAUCUUCAUCGGCGUCGUCAACGGCGUCGCCUCGACGUCCUACCUUCAGCUCUGGAUCGUAAGGUCUUGACCGGCGGCAC
rnacentral:lncRNA from 1 species